UUGAUGUUCUUCGUAUUAUCAAUAAGCCUACUGCUACUUCUUUGGUUUAUGCUUUUGAAAAGAGAAGCAAUUAAAUAAUUAUUGUCUUUGAUCUUGGUGGUGGUAUCUUUGAUGUCUCUGGUACUUUACAUUAAACUGUUGCUAUAUAUAUAUUAGUUUGAUAAAACGGUUACAGUUUUGUAAACGAAUUUUGAUUUAUAAAAACUCAAUUGCAAUGUAUAAAUGAUAAUUGCAAUGUAUAAAUGAUAAUUAAACAUUUAGAUUAAAUUUAAUAUUUGAACUUAAAUAAUGAACAGUAGAGUUUUAAGAUUUUUAGUUAGAUUUGGGUAUAUGAUUAAUUUGGGGUUUAAACCCUUACCCUAAACAUAAACAUUAAAAUUUCAAUAUUUUCAUAAUAUAAUUUCGAUCUUAAAUUUAAAUUUAAAGUUUAAUAAUUUUAAAAAUAGAAUCUCAAAUUUAAAUUAUAACCCUCAAACAUUAAAUCUUAAACAUUAAAUCUUAGAUCUAUACCCUAAAUAUAAUACCCUAAACCCCAAACUUAAAUCUUACAUACAAAGUCAUAAAUCUAUUUUUUUAAUUUAUAAUAUAAAUCUUAAACUUAGAUUCCAAAUAUAUUCUAAAACUCAAACCAUAUACUUAAUUAUAAAUCUUAACCCUAAACCCUAAACCACAUACUUCAUAUUAACCUACAUCAUAAAUCCUAAUUUACAAAUUUCAAAAAUUUAAAUAUAGGUUUUGGAAUUUAGACUUUGAGUAUAUAUUCCAAACCAUAUACAAUAACUCUAAAUCUUAUACACCAAAUCAUAAAAUCCAAACAUCAAAUUUAACCUUUUCAAAUUUAAACACCAAAACCUAAACAUAGAUACUAAUCAAAAAAUUUCAAAUUGUAUUCUCAAAUUUUACUCUAAACCCCAAACCUAAGACUCCAAAUAAACUUUAAUCAUGAACAUUAACCUUAUAUUUAAAACUUUUAAAUUAGACUAAACUUUUAACUUUAAUCAUAGUCAUUAAUCAAAUCCUAUAUUAUAAAUCUAUUAUUUAAAUUUAAAUUCAUUUGUUUAAACCCCAUAUAAACCCAUUCAUAUUUAAGUGAAUUAGAAGCUUAUUUGAUGACCAAAGAAAAAGAAUUAACGGCUUAAUUCUGAUUGGACCAAAAAGUGAGGCGUGGAUCACCAUUUUUCGAAUCUCUGCCGUUGGUAAUAUUAAUCUUACGGCUCAGAUUAAUUCACUAUUAAUAUUUUAUGUUUGUUUUAUCUCUUUCUUCCUUUCUUCUUCCUCCACACGAUUCUAUACUUCUUAUUUUCUUCUUCUGUACCUCUUCGAUCUCCUCAUCUAAUCUCAUCUCUCUUAUCCUCUUCCCAUCUCUCUUUCUCCUCUGCUCAUCUUUCAUUUACUUUUCUUCUUUCAAGCAAAUGGAUCUGAACGAAGAGGAUUACCACCGUCAUGCUUCUCACCACCAUGCUCCUUUCUAUUCGGUUUCGCCCUUCACCACCACCACCACCGCACGUUCGUCAACACCACCACCAGUCACGAAAGUGGAGGAGGCACAGGAUUGAUGAAUGAGGCACAGGAGAUUGAUGGAGGAGGUAGCAGUGGUGGGUCGUGAGCAGAGCCGGCUUGAAUGUUGAAGACGAAGAAGCUCGGUGAGGAGGCGGCAGGCGGCGGAGAAUAUACAUUAGGUUGAGAUUAGGGUUAGGUAUAUUUUUAAUUUGGUUUAGUAUGCUAAACCGAUUUUAUUUAUUAAUAGUUUGAAUUU